rnacentral:miRNA from 9 species
AGGAUACCAUGUUGUGUUUACA